UUAGGUAGCCGGGCGUUCGCGUCCACAAUAGACCGGCCUCCGAGUUUCGGGUGUGUGAUAGGAGGGAAGCGAUGAAAGAGAGACUCUUUUUUCGGAAAGGAAUAGGAGAAAGGGAGCAGAUCUAGCCUAGACCACUUCGUCGCCGAUCCCUCCAGCUCCGCUCCGCCGCCUGGCCUGCUCGGACCUCUCGUCUAGUCGGCCGUUCGGCCUGGUCGUCGCAGCGGCAGAGGAGGAACGAGAAAGAUACUCGUCCUCGUCCCCAGCGGGUCGGCGGCGUCGGGGCUGCCCUUUCCCGGCGGCGCCAGGAGGAGAGCCGAUGCGCGAACCGGCGGCGCGAGGAGAUCGGUGGAGGGGCGCGGCGGGCGGCGCGGUUCAUGUGGGGCCGGCGGAGGACGUGAACGGAUGAGGACCGCUGCGCGCGGCGCGGAUCGUGCGCGGGCCGGCAAGGGGAGGACGACAGAGGAGAAUCGCUGCGUGCGGCGCCAGCCCUCCCGGACAAAGGGAUCCAGGGGUUGAGGCUGCCAGCUAAUGUCACGGUACAUCCACAACAACGACGUAUGAACCCACCCUCUAACUUGUAUACACGGUUGAAAGAAGACAGCCGUCUCUGGUUUUACCGACCUCUUCCUCUACACGGACUGUUACUUUGUCUCCCAAGACGUUUAGGCUAGAGUGCUGCCUUGAGUUUUUCCCGACGAUUCGCCGUCGGCGCACCGCUACUAUUCCUGCCCCUACCUCUCCCACUGCUACCACCCCUUUCUAAGGAGAAUCAUUUUAACGUCUCUUCUUUCCACGCGUGCCUCCGUCAUAGGUUUCCCCAUCUACGGUGUAGAAGACGUCGUCGGCGACUCCCCCACUCCCAUUACUUCCUCUAUUACGUCUUGCCGUCAGUGUUCGACCAUCCUAUUCCCGUAGUGGACCCUCCAACCACUUCAACUUGUUAUACAACUCGGGUAAUGUUUUCAGGGGGGAGACGGUGUUCGACAAACCUCCGGACCUAAGUACAACAUCAACGUGUGUAAAUGUCAUUUUCAACCGAAAUCUAAGUACAAAUCAACGUGUUUAUACACAAAAAAAAAAACGUGUCUGACGUGUGUAGGUACAGACACACACAACUAACGUGUGUAAAUGUCGUUUUCGACCGAAAACCUAGGUAUCAAUCAAACGUGUAGAGAAAAGAUCAGAACCGACAAACCAACGUGUGUUUCUUCCUUUUCAACCAAAACCUAGGUACAAAAUCAACCGUGUUUAUAUCCGAAGAUAAACGUGUGGACCG
rnacentral:rRNA from 1 species